GACACCUGCUUAGGCGUUCAGCUAAAAUUGCAGUCAGCGGUCUUUGAUAGACACCAGACUGAAAUCUUUUGUGUUUUGAAUGUGUGGUUAAGAGUUUGGACAGCAG